rnacentral:rRNA from 1 species
GUUUGAUCAUGGCUCAGAACGAACGCUGGCGGCAUGCCUAACACAUGCAAGUCGAACGAAGUCUUCGGACUUAGUGGCGCACGGGUGCGUAACGCGUGGGAAUCUGCCCUUGGGUACGGAAUAACUCAGAGAAAUUUGUGCUAAUACCGUAUAAUGUCGUAAGACCAAAGAUUUAUCGCCCAAGGAUGAGCCCGCGUAAGAUUAGCUAGUUGGUAGGGUAAAAGCCUACCAAGGCGACGAUCUUUAGCUGGUCUGAGAGGAUGAUCAGCCACACUGGGACUGAGACACGGCCCAGACUCCUACGGGAGGCAGCAGUGGGGAAUAUUGGACAAUGGGCGAAAGCCUGAUCCAGCAAUGCCGCGUGAGUGAUGAAGGCCCUAGGGUUGUAAAGCUCUUUUACCCGGGAUGAUAAUGACAGUACCGGGAGAAUAAGCUCCGGCUAACUCCGUG